rnacentral:rRNA from 1 species
CAGGAUGAACGCUAGCUACAGGCUUAACACAUGCAAGUCAGGGGCAGCAUGAAGAUGUGCUUGCACAACUUUGAUGGCGACCGGCGCACGGGUGAGUAACGCGUAUCCAACCUUCCCUAUAGUAGAGAAUAGCCCGGCGAAAGUCGGAUUAAUGCUCUAUGUUCUUCUUUGAUGGCAUCUGACGAGAAGCAAAGGUUCACCGCUAUAGGAUGGGGGAUGCGUCUGAUUAGGUAGUCGGCGGGGUAACGGCCCACCGAGCCAUCGAUCAGUAGGGGUUCUGAGAGGAAGGUCCCCCACAUUGGUACUGAGACACGGACCAAACUCCUACGGGAGGCAGCAGUGAGGAAUAUUGGUCAAUGGGCGAGAGCCUGAACCAGCCAAGUAGCCGUGCAGGAUGACUGCCCUAUGGGUUGUAAACUGCUUUUAUAGGGGAAUAAAGUGAGGUACGUGUACCUUUUUGUAUGUACCCUAUGAAUAAGGACCGGCUAAUUCCGUGCCAGCCGCGGC